rnacentral:lncRNA from 1 species
AAAUUGCAAAAUCAAUUAAAAUUGAUUAAUUGAUUGUAUGGUUGUGUGUGUCCCAUAGUACUUGUUUAUCUGUAGAGGGGAACGGGUCUGUAAUAUUUGAUUUAAUCUAAUCUGUUGAAAUUCCCAUUGUUCGGCUUAAAUUUCAAGUUUUAGACUUUAAUCUUUUUCAUUCAUUAGUUCCAACUUCUGGCUUUAUUAUUUAUAUUCAUACUCUUCCAUCUUGGUUUUAUAUAUUUAAUUCUGUUAUUUAAUUCAGAUUCAGUUCUACAUCCAUAUAGUUAUCAUAUAUAAUAAUGUUACUGUUAAUCUUUUUUAUAACAUUUUAUAAUCGUGCAGACAAGACCAUGCCUGCAGUACAGUACAUUAACCUGAAUAUUGACUGAUCCAUUUAACCUUGUACUGUACACAGGUAGAGCGUUGUACACGUGUACUGGUCUGUAGUAAACUAUUAGAUUCUUCAAUCUUCGUGUGAUAUUGAUUAAACCAAUCUCUCUAAACUUGAUAUAUUGAAACUUUAACUAGCUAGCUCGCAUUCUUUGAAGCUAGUUUAGAGUCAUACUGCUUUCUUGACAGCUAGUGAAUAGCUAGCCUGCCAUCCGCUAGCUAGCUCAUCAAUAGCUCGACUUGAAUUUAAGAUGAUAUUAAACUGUCUGAAUCUUCUAACUUAGCUAAAUAUUUAACCUGUUGCUAUAUCAGUUUGAUUAGCUAAGAAGAUGCUAGCUAGCUACAGUAUUUUGUAGAACAAUUUAUUCGUCUAAAAUCAUAACAUUGGAAGAUAAAAUGUCUUAAACAUUAAUAUACAGAUGUAAUUCUGUUGAACCAUGUUUCUUCAAUACUCGAGGUUGAAUCUGAUAAGUAAAAACUUUUCAGUGCAAGAAACCUCGGUCAAAAUCUUUUCUUUCAGUUUCAUCUCUUCUGUAUUCAAAGAACUUGAUAAAUUAUUCGGACUUUAAAGUUCUUCCACUUUUCUAAGCUUGCAUGGAAUUUGAAAUAAGCUUAGAAAAAAAAUAGAACUUUAUCACAGGAUUCCAUGUUAACAGAAUAGUAGAUGUUAGAUUUCAGAUUUUAAUCUUGCAAGUUGUUCUACUGCGUGUAUACCUCCUAACACUAAACCCCCUAGUGCCUGUUCUUUGUUCAAACUAUUUAAAAAAAAACAUAAAAUUUAAAAAAAUA